UAACAAUUCCGGUUGAUCCUGCCGGAGGUCACUGCUAUUGGAGUUCGAUUAAGCCAUGCGAGUCAAGAGUUCUUCGUGAACUCGGCGGACUGCUCAGUAACACGUGGGUAAUCUACCCUAAGGUCAGGGAUAAUCCCGGGAAACUGGGAAUAAUACCUGAUAGGUGAAGAUGUCUGGAACGAUACUUCGCCCAAAGCUCCGGCGCCUUAGGAUGAGCCUGCGCCCGAUUAGGUUGUUGGUGGUGUAAAGGACCACCAAGCCCGUUAUCGGUACGGGUGUUGAGAGACAUAGCCCGGAGAUGGGGGCUGAGACACGGCCCCAGGCCCUACGGGGCGCAGCAGGCGCGAAAACUACGCAAUGCGCGAAAGCGUGACGUGGGAACUCCAAGUGCCUUGCCUUAGGGUAAGGCUUUUGUUUAGUGUAAGUAGCUAAACGAAUAAGUGCUGGGUAAGACCGGUGCCAGCCGCCGCGGUAACACCGGCAGCGCAAGUGGUGACCGCUUUUAUUGGGCCUAAAGCGUUCGUAGCCGGUUUGGUAAGUCUUUGGGUAAAUCCUCCAGCUUAACUGGAGGAAUUCCGGAGAUACUGCCAGACUUGGAGUUGAGAGAGGUCAGAGGUACCUCUGGGGUAGGGGUGAAAUCCUAUAAUCCUAGGGGGACCACCAGUGGCGAAGGCGUCUGACUAGAGCAAGCUCGACGGUGAGGGACGAAAGCCAGGGGCGCGAACGGGAUUAGAUACCCCGGUAGUCCUGGCCGUAAACGCUGCGCGCUAGGUGUUGCAUGCUCUACGAGGGCGUGCAGUGCCGAAGAGAAGUUGAUAAGCGUGCCGCCUGGGAAGUAUUACCGCAAGGUAGAAACUUAAAGGAAUUGGCGGGGGAGCACCACAAGGGGUGGAGUCUGCGGUUCAAUUGGAUUCAACGCCGGGAAACUCACCGGGAUCGACGGCAGAAUGAUAGCCAAGCUGAUGACUUUGCUUGACGAGCCGAGAGGAGGUGCAUGGCCGUCGUCAGCUCGUACUGUGAAGCGUCCUGUUAAGUCAGGCAACGAGCGAGACCCGUGCCCUUAGUUGCGACGUCUUCCCAUCUGGGGAGAUGGCACUCUAAGGGGACCGCCAGUGAUAAACUGGAGGAAGGUGCGGGCGACUAUAGGUCAGUAUGCCCCGAAUGUCCCGGGCUACACGCGGACUACAAUGGAUGGUACAAUAGGUUUCGACUCCGAGAGGAGAAGGAAAUCCCCAAAGCCAUCCCAAGUUCAGAUUGUGGGUUGCAACUCACCCACAUGAAGCCGGAAUCCCUAGUAAUCGCGUGUCAUCAUCGCGCGGUGAAUAUGUCCCUGCUCCUUGCACACACCGCCCGUCAAGCCACCCGAGUGGAGUUUGGUCGAGGCUACGUCCUUUGGGCGUAUUCGAGUCUGGAUUCCGCGAGGAGGGUUAAGUCGUAACAAGGUACCCGUAGCGGAAGCUGCGGGUGGAUCACCUCCUGUGCAA
rnacentral:rRNA from 1 species